GCAAGUCGAACGAGAAAGCUUCUUCGGAAGUGAGUACAGUGGCGAACGGGAGAGUAACGCGUGGGAAACCUGCCCUUCAGCGGGGGACAACAGUUCUAACGAGCUGCUAAUACCGCAUACGAUCUAGGCACCGCAUGGAGCCUGGAUGAAAGAUGGCCUCUACAUGUAAGCUGUCACUGAAGGAUGGUCCCGCGUCCCAUUAGCUUGUUGGUGGGGUAAUGGCCUACCAAGGCGACGAUGGGUAGCCGGCCUGAGAGGGUGUCC
rnacentral:rRNA from 1 species